AGUGAACGCUGGCGGUAGGCCUAACACAUGCAAGUCGAACGGCAGCACAGUAAGAGCCUGCUCUUACGGGUGGCGAGUGGCGGACGGGUGAGGAAUACAUCGGAAUCUACUUUUUCGUGGGGGAUAACGUAGGGAAACUUACGCUAAUACCGCACACGACCUACGGGUGAAAGCAGGGGAUCUUCGGACCUUGCGCGAUUGAAUGAGCCGAUGUCGGAUUAGCUAGUUGGCGGGGUAAAGGCCCACCAAGGCGACGAUCCGUAGCUGGUCUGAGAGGAUGAUCAGCCACACUGGAACUGAGACACGGUCCAGACUCCUACGGGAGGCAGCAGUGGGGAAUAUUGGACAAUGGGCGCAAGCCUGAUCCAGCCAUACCGCGUGGGUGAAGAAGGCCUUCGGGUUGUAAAGCCCUUUUGUUGGGAAAGAAAAGCAGCAGGUUAAUACCCCGCUGUUCUGACGGUACCCAAAGAAUAAGCACCGGCUAACUUCGUG
rnacentral:rRNA from 1 species